rnacentral:tRNA from 1 species
UCCCUGGUGGUCCAGUAGUUAGGAUAUUGCACUUCUAUUGCAGGAGGCCUGGGUUCAAUCCCUGGUCAGGGAA